GCGGCACGCCUUAUACAUGCAAGUCGAACGAAGUAGCAAUACUUAGUGGCAGACGGGUGAGUAACAUGUGGGUAUCUUCCCUUUGGUGAGGAAUAACACGAGGAAACUUGUGCUAAUACCUCAUAAGUCUUUACGGAGAAAGCUUUAUGCGCCAAUGGAUGAGCCUGCACUUGAUUAGUUAGUUGGUGGGGUAAUGGCCUACCAAGACUUUGAUCAAUAGCUGAUUUGAGAGGAUGAUCAGCCACAUUGGGACUGAGACACGGCCCAAACUCCUACGGGAGGCAGCAGUAAGGAAUCUUGCACAAUGGAGGAAACUCUGAUGCAGCGAUGCCGCGUGAGUGAAGAAGGCCCUUGGGUUGUAAAGCUCUUUCGUCGGGGAAGAAAAUGACUGUACCCGAAUAAGAAGGUCCGGCUA
rnacentral:rRNA from 1 species